UCUUCUUCAUCUUCUACUUCUUCUUUUUCACAUCAAGAGCAAAUAAGGGGCUUUGGAGUUUUCAAACGCAAUUUAAAACGUGCACCCCUUGGAUUUUGGCAUGCACUAAUGUAGGGGGCUUUUCUUCCCUUUGAUUUACCUGUUUUCUAUGUGGAAUUUCUAUGUGGUAACCAACUGGUUUUGGUUGGGUUUGAUUUAAAUUUUCAGAAAAUCCUCACUGGUUCUUACAAAAGAUAGUGCUUUGAUUCUCAAUGGAUUGUGCUACUUUUUGUUUCAAGAGUUUGGAGCUAGCUCGAUGUAGUAAGCUGAGAAUAGCUUGCGGCGUGGAUUUAUGGACACAAUGUGGCAUAUAUUGUUGUCCUUGUAUAUAUAUAUCAUGGGCUGGGGUGUUUUAGUGUUAAUGUGAAGUUAGUUUUUAUUAAAUUUUUCCCAAGUAUGGAUGCUAAAAAUUUUGUACAGUUGAAUGAUAGUUUUGUGCAAAACACUUGUGUACAUUUUUAUAGUUAAUUUCAUUUGUUAAUGGGAGUUGAAUAUUAAAUCUC